UUCGCAUUGCCAAAGCCUAACAAAUGAAAACUUAUGCCUCCAGAGAGUAAAUGAACAACAUAGUUGAGCAAAAAAUAAAGCCCCGGUGAGGAUAAAAGGAGGCCUUCGAGCAGUACGGAGCGACCUCGAUACGCGAAACCUAGGGUUUCAUUUGCUGGCGGCGGCGAUCUCACGGUCCCCAGACCAGGCACCGACUAGGAGAGGCGGUGCAGUCUUGGUCAUCGGCGCCGGUGUUCCAGAUCGUUUGCUCAACGGAAAAAGUUGAGGUGGUACGGGCUUCGACUCCCGGCUAUUUCGACAGAGGCGGUUGAGGGUGCGGCUGAGGUGUGUAAGGAAAUCUUUCGUGCUGGGUUUUGGGUUGUCGGUGGUUUCACGGCGUCGGCAUCGCGGGCAACUUCUGAGGCAGGGGUUUCCGGCGAUUUGAUCGUUCUCUGUUGUUCCAGGUCGGGGCCAGGUCUCCUCCCUUGACCAAGGCGAUGGCGGAGCUUGGCGGCCGGCCAUUGGAAGAAUGGACAGAGCGUUGCCCUCGGGCUCCGAUCGGAUCGAUCUGAAGGUAGAAGGGAAGGAGGUGGGUGAUGGGCCGUGGGCCCUGUCUGGUUGGGCUGCUGCCUGGCUGGGCUCACCUUUUUCUCUUUUGGGCCUGGUUUGGUUUGGGCUGGUGGUGUGGCAAUGAUUUCAGUUUUUGUUUGUUUUGAAUAAACUAGCAUCGCUCGGCUUUUACUCUAUUCGGCCCUUGAUCGUUGUUGUUGGCUGAUUGAUGAGUGGCGAUGUACACCAAGAAGGUCUUAGGCGUCAAUGCUUAUUAAAUUGGUUGCUCUGAUUUAGGGUUGGAUAGGUGUAGGGGUUUUAUUUUCUCUCAUUUUUCUUUUUAGUUUGUUGCAGUUCCUUUAGGUUUUUAGUUUUUUGGUUAGGAUAUGGCUGCUCUGACAGUUUGUAUUGUGCUUGAACUUGUAUUAUGAGUGAUUUCUUGAAACCCUUAAGCUUGACGCAGUGACGUCGUUAUUUAAUGGAA